AGAAUCAACGCUGGCGGCGUGCCUAACACAUGCAAGUCGAACGAGAAAGGGGAGCAAUCCCUGAGUAAAGUGGCGCACGGGUGAGUAACACGUGACUAACCUACCCUGGAGUGGGGGAUAACUGAGGGAAACCUUAGCUAAUACCGCAUAACACCUACGGGUCAAAGGAGCAAUUCGCUUUGGGAGGGGUCGCGGCCGAUUAGUUAGUUGGCGGGUAAUGGCCCACCAAGACAGUGAUCGGUAUCC
rnacentral:rRNA from 1 species